CUCUCCUACGGGACGCAGCAGUAGGGAAUCUUCGGCAAUGGGGGCAACCCUGACCGAGCAACGCCGCGUGAGUGAAGAAGGUUUUCGGAUCGUAAAACUCUGUUGGUAGAGAAGAACGUUGGUGAGAGUGGAAAGCUCAUCAAGUGACGGUAACUACCCAGAAAGGGACGGCUAACUACGUGCCAGCAGCCGCGGUAAUACGUAGGUCCCGAGCGUUGUCCGGAUUUAUUGGGCGUAAAGCGAGCGCAGGUGGUUUAUUAAGUCUGGUGUAAAAGGCAGUGGCUCAACCAUUGUAUGCAUUGGAA
rnacentral:rRNA from 1 species